AGGUUUGGAAUGUCCUGAUGCCAACACUUGGUCUGGGAUCAGAAGUUGGACCAGAAGAAUUAUGGCUUGAACAUGGUGUAGACAGCUAGAAGCUCCUGUUGAGGGGAUGGUCUCCUGCUGGUGGAGUCUAUCAUUGAAAGUCACUGGAUCACAAACUCCUGAUAUAAUCCAUGACGUAACCCACUGACGGAUCCAUAACUCCAAGAUAUUGUUAUUUGGAGGACAAUCCAUGGAAAAGUGAAGCCAUUCUCAAAUGAUGUGCAAAGGAGUGUGCCCAGCUGUGGGGGCAAUCGUGUCCAUGAGGCCAUUUGCUCUGAUUGCUUUCACCUGGUGUCUUUGAGGUCUAUCCGUGCUGUUGCAGGCAUAUUUAAGGGACAUUUGGUUGCUUCCACAUGGUAGCUUUGUGAAGAAUGUUGUCAUCGGAGACAGAGUCAUAGGCUGUAAACAGAAUCCCUGGAAUUACCCGUGCAGAGGGCAGUUCAUGAAGUGCAGGAAGGUCCCUUAAAGCCAAGAAGUGCUGGCCAAAGCCUGCUCGGGGAAGACACAAGGAAGCUGGGCAUGAUGGCCAAGUGUUAGAGGGUUACACUACUGCCUUCUGCUUCUGAUCUGAUUGAGUCACAGCUGAGAUGUGGCACCAGGACUCUUGGCUACACUCAGUUCUCUCAGUUUGACUGAGUACUCUGGGAUCACAGAAGUGACUACAUGAUGCAGCCCAGAGGUCUGAACUCAAAGCUUCUGCCUGCCUACCUUAUCUCACUGCUGGCAAAUGCAUCCCCUCUGCUCCACCCAUGGUCUCUCCAAGGAAUUAGCAUAACUGGGCCUGCUAGGUGACUCAAGCCACCCUUUCUGACUCAUUCCUUAAGCCAGAUUCACAGGAUGGCUUCUCAUUGUUGUCAAGGUGAAGAAGGUCUCAAUCCUCCCACUGCCUAAGUGGGCAAGGUCCCCAGGAUGGGGGAGAGAGAUUUGGAGGAAGGCUGGGAACUUCUUAAGGCCU
rnacentral:lncRNA from 1 species